CAGCCGCCCUGCAGAGGGAGAAAGAGAGAAGGAAAGAGACCUGGCCCACGAGCACACGCAACUAGGUCCAAGUGUCCUGCAAAGGAAGAAAGCAGACACACAGGCACGCGCGGCCAGAGACCAGAUGUCUUGAAAAGGGAGCGACUAAGCUAGCUUUGGGUACACUGGGCCAGCUCAAAACCGGCUGGCCGGUACGACCCAGGCACGCGUGAUAAAGGAUUUAGAGGCCAGGCCGGCGCAACCUUCCCCACAAACUCGGUCUCCCGCCCACCACCGCUGCCUGCCACCAGGGGGCACUCCCCGACCCAAGCAACGGAGAGUCACAGCUCAGAUCAGACAGGCCUGCACCUGGGCUCUUGCACCAGAGUUCGGAAACUGCCAAGUGACUCUGCUGGAGUUGGACAUGAAUAUAAUCCAGUACGUGGAGGCAGAAAGAGGAAGGAAGAUCAAGAGUUCAAGGAGGCUUGAGAGUGGGGGCAGAAGAAGAGAGAAGAGGCAAGAGAGGAGGAGAGAAGACAGAAGAGGAGGAAGCCUCCAUGGACCUGAACCACAUGGCCAGGAGAAACAGUACUGUUCACCAAGAGACCGUCAUCACAUGCCUGCUUGCCUAAGUGGCAAGGGAUGAGCUGGCAAAUGUCCAGCGUGCCGAGUAAUUUUUAUACAACUAUGAAGCAGUUGUAUCUGUUGGAAAAAGGAAAAGUUGGGCAGUCACAGCUUUAUUAAACAGAGACCAUCCA
rnacentral:lncRNA from 1 species